ACUCCUACGGGAGCCAGAUCUCAUCUCUGACUCCAGCUGCAGGCAGGCUUCGUCCGGACUCCUACGGGAGCCGAACUUCGUCCCCAACCUCAACUGCUGGAAGGUUUCACCCGGACUCCUACGGGAGCCAGAUCUCAUCUCCGACUCCAGCUGCAGGCAGGCUUCGUCCGGACUCCUACGGGAGCCGGACUUCGUCCCCAACC
rnacentral:lncRNA from 1 species